AUGAUGUUGGGGGUAAUGGAAGUGCUGCCUGAUUUCUUCAAGCCCUUGCCACUGAGCAAGAUGCUGAAGGAUGUAAGAAAUUGCAGUCCUUCAACUACCGCCCAAACUGGAAGAAGAAGUUAGAGAUGGAUUCUCCCCAAGUUCUUCGAAUAAAUGAAACAUCAACGGGGAAGGUCAUGUCUGAGCACUGAAAAUGGCAGAUUUAGAAAUCACCCACAUGGCGUACGUGAUCAAGAUGGCGGCAUCAUCAUUGUUGACCAUGUCUCGCGUCGGAAAGAAUCCAAUCUCAUGCUAAAUGAAUUUGUUGUCAUGUUCAGAGAUGAAACUGGGUGUCAAAUUGUGGAGCCUGCUCAUAUGGUAAAUCUUCAACUGUAUGCCUUUCUUGUGCACGUAUAUUUAUCUCCAAAAUUUGGUUUUCAUAUGGUUUAGUUAGUUAACAGUAUGAAGACCUUUAAGAAAAUUAUAGUUUAGAAAUUCCAUGCUGUCAAUAUUUUCAGUUUGUUUACAUGCUCAAAUAUGUCCCAGGAGAAUCCUUUUCUUUUACAAUCCUUGUUUCAUUCUGAAGUCUGA